GGAAAGGGGAGGAGGGGCGGCAGGUAAAUCCCCCCCACCCACGUGGAUGUUGCAGGAAAGGAAAGGAGAAUCGGGAGCGAGGACAAAAAGGAUCAGGAUCCUCAGGAGCGUGUCCUGGUGGCCAGAU
rnacentral:lncRNA from 1 species